GGAAGCUGUUUUCUGGUUUGCAUGACAGGGGAUGCAAAUAAUUUAUUUAAAGGUUUUAGGUCAAGUGUGAAAACUUCCCUUUUCUGUAAAGUUUCAUUCUCGGAGUGAGGCUGUGUGUGACAGACUGAUACAAGUGAGUCCUCUGAGUUUUUAUUUGUUUCAGAAAUCCAGUUGUUGUCCCACAUGAGAUGGAGGCUCAGACAGUCACAUGGUUGUUUUUUCUGGCCCUAAUAAAACAUGUUUCUACAAGUGAUUCUAAAAGUCCCUUUAAACUCGAACCUGGUGGGCUGCUGACUACUGAGGGAUCCUGCGUUGAAAUUAAAUGCCAAGUCACAAGAAAUGUUGAUGAUCAUGAUGCAUACUGGUUUUGGAUGAAAGAUGCACAAUGGGUCAAAGGUGACUUUAAUACCACUGUCAUUUACAGCACAAACAACUCGACACGUCCGGUCAGUCCUGACUUUGCAAACAAAGUCAAAUACAUCGGUUCUCCAUCUUCAAGUUGGCAGAAUGCUAACUAUGCUGAGCCGAAGCCUCUGUGCAGUGUUUCGAUCUGUGACCUGAGAAGAAGUGACAGCGGAAAUUAUUCUUUGAGAAAACCGAUGCCCGCUCACUUUUGUGGAACCAGCUGCUGUGGUGGAGUCCGACGUGGUCACACUCACAUGCAACACUUCAAGUUCAUGUCCUUCAAGACCUCAGAUUCAAGAUUUGACUCAGAUCGACCAGACACA